rnacentral:rRNA from 1 species
UGGGGAAUUUUGGACAAUGGGCGAAAGCCUGAUCCAGCAAUGCCGCGUGUGUGAAGAAGGCCUUCGGGUUGUAAAGCACUUUUGUCCGGAAAGAAAUCCUUGGCUCUAAUACAGCUCGGGGGAUGACGGUACCGGAAGAAUAAGCACCGGCUAACUACGUGCCAGCAGCCGCGGUAAUACGUAGGGUGCAAGCGUUAAUCGGAAUUACUGGGCGUAAAGCGUGCGCAGGCGGUUUGCUAAGACCGAUGUGAAUCCCGGGCAUCAACCUGGGAACUGCAUUGGUGACUGGCAGGCUAGAGUAUGGCAGAGGGGGGUAGGAAUUCCACGUGUAGCAGUGAAAUGCGUAGAGAUGUGGAGGAAUACCGAUGGCGAAGGCAGCCCCUGGGCCAAUACUGACGCUCAGUGCACGAAAGCGUGGGGGAGCAAAACAGGAUUAGAUA